rnacentral:rRNA from 1 species
UACGUAGGUGGCGAGCGUUGUCCGGAUUUACUGGGCGUAAAGGGCUUGUAGGCGGUCCGUUAAGUCCGAUGUGAAAUCUCCCGGCUCAACUGGGAGAGGUCAUUGGAUACUGGCGGACUAGAAGGGGGUAGAGGAAAGCAGAAUUCCUGGUGUAGCGGUGAAAUGCGUAGAUAUCAGGAGGAAUACCAGUGGCGAAGGCGGCUUUCUGGGCCUACCCUGACGCUGAGGAGCGAAAGCGUGGGGAGCAAACCGG